CCUACGGGGCGCAGCAGUGAGGAAUAUUGGUCAAUGGGCGCUAGCCUGAACCAGCCAAGUAGCGUGAAGGAUGACUGCCCUAUGGGUUGUAAACUUCUUUUAUAUGGGAAUAAAGUGCAGUAUGUAUACUGCUUUGCAUGUACCUUAUGAAUAAGGAUCGGCUAACUCCGUGCCAGCAGCCGCGGUAAUACGGAGGAUGCGAGCGUUAUCCGGAUUUAUUGGGUUUAAAGGGUGCGUAGGCGGGCAUUUAAGCCGGCGGUCAAAUGUCGGGGCUCAACCCCGGCCUGCCGUCGGAACUGGGUGCC
rnacentral:rRNA from 1 species